CUCACACUCUUUGACUUAUUCACUCACUCACUGUCAACAGUCGGGACAGAUCCACUGGCAGCAGUUGAGUUCAUCUCUUGACAGGAUGAGUGUCUUUGACCGUCUGAUGCCUCAAGCAUCUGCGUCCUCCAGACAAACAGGGGAACCUCCAUCAGUCUCUCUGUCACCGCCUCUCUCGCUCUCCUCCCCUGUUAUUAAGAAGAAAGCCAUUCAAAUCCCAUCGUUUGAUGAGAAGGGACUCAUUCAUGAGAAAUACGACACAUUACAGGAAACCACUAGCAGAUCAUUUGUUCCAAUUUGCUCCUCUAAGAUGUCCAGUCAGGCCUCUUUGAGUUUGAAAUCAUGUCAGCUGUCACAGAAAAUCCACGCAGAAAGAGCUUCAACCCUGCCAAGAACCAAACCCAGAACCUACAG